rnacentral:rRNA from 1 species
AUGGGACACUUUGGCGUGAAAAAGACAGAGGAUAUACUUGUUACACGUUUCUUUUGGCCAAAGAUGAGACGGGAUGUUGAUCGUUUUGUUGCUUGCUACACUACAUGUCAAAAAGCUAAGUCACGACUCAAUCCUCAUGGUUUAUAUAUGCCUUUGCUUGUAGCUAGUGUUCCUUGGGAGGAUAUCUCUAUGGAUUUUGUUUUAGGAUUACCUCGAACAAAGAAGGGAGGGAUAGCAUAUUUGUUGUCGUGGAUAGAUUCUCGAAAAUGGCACACUUUAUACCAUGUCAUAAAAGUGAUGAUGCUGUUAAUGUUACUGAUUUGUUCUUUCGUGAAAUUAUUCGGUUGCAUGGUGUGCCAAAUACUAUUGUUCAGAUCGUGA